rnacentral:rRNA from 1 species
CUUAAAUUGAAGAGUUUGAUCAUGGCUCAGAUUGAACGCUGGCGGCAGGCCUAACACAUGCAAGUCGAGCGGUAGCACGGGGGAGCUUGCUCCCUGGGUGACGAGCGGCGGACGGGUGAGUAAUGUCUGGGAAACUGCCUGAUGGAGGGGGAUAACUACUGGAAACGGUAGCUAAUACCGCAUAACCU